UUUAUAAAAACUUCAGAGAGUUCCCUACUUCUUAGAUAGAUUCCCAAUAUCCUUGUAGAUUCAAGGAUUGUCUUGGCUUAGUCGUGUACCAGCCUAUUCCUUCAACUUCCGUUCCACGUCAGUUGGUAUCAGAGCGAGGAGUUGCCUGGCUUGAUGGUUACUAAUAGGCGGUGAUGCUUCAAACCCUAGCAAUAGGGCUCAUGGAGAGGACGCCUUAUGGGUGGCCCUUGAUUCAUAACGACAGAUGCUUGAAUCACAACGAGAGUGAAUGGAUCAACUUUUCGAUAUGCUACAACAAUUUAGGCUUAAUGCAAAUCGAGAACCGGUUGUCGAUGGAAACUGUGGUAGGGGGGUCGCCCCAACCCGACCUGCUGGCAGAUCUGUUCCAGAAAGACAAGUUCCUAUGAAUCUUCAUCAGUAGUCUGCUUAUGAUGAUGAUUCCAAAGAAGAAGAAGUUGACAGCUAUGGUUACUAUCAUCUUCAACAAGGGGGAAGACAUAGGGAUCUUGAGGAGUACAGAAUCAAAGCAGACAUCCCUACGUUCAAUGGUUACCUAUGUAUAGAAGACUUCUUUGACUGGAUUCUGUGGUAGAAUGAUUUGGUGACAUGCUGGAGGUCCCAGAUGAGAGGCUUGUAAAGCUUGUUGCUUUUAGAUUGAAGAGCGGUGCUGGUGUAUGGUGGGAUAACCUGAUAAGAGAAAGACAAAGGCAAUGCAAACCAUCUGUUCGAUCAUGGCGCCAAAUGAAAGAGCCGUUGAUGUCUAGAUUUCUUCCGCCAGAUUACGAGCAAUAUUUAUCCCAACUCUACCAAAAUUGCAAGCAGGGUGACAGGUCAGUGUUUGAUUAUACUGCUGAAUUUACUAGACUUGCUACUCGAAAUAAUUUAUUGGAGAUAGCGGUCCAGUGAGUUUCUAGAUAUCUUAAUGGGUUAAGGCCUUCUUUGAGGAAGGUAAUUGGUUGCAAGUUUUAUGGACUGUGGCAGAGGCUCAAAACUUGGCCUUGAAGGUUGAAUUGUUAGAAAGCACCAUUAACAAUUCAGAGGUGCCUCAUAAAAACUACAACUCCUCAUACUCUAUGUCUAGAAAGGGAAAGGCAAUUCGAGCCCUCAUCAUUUCAAAAAUAGUACAUAAAAACAUAGCCCAAGGGGUUUGAGGGUGGAUCGAAUAAACAGAUAGCUGGUACUAUCACUAGAGAGGUGACUAAAAAUUCCAAUUUUUAUUCUUGUGCUGCUCCUGGCAAGUGCUAUAGAUGUGGGAAGUAGGGACAUCGAUCCAAUGAAUGUCCUGAGAGGAGAACAGUGAAUUUGAUGGAGGUAGAUGAUGUCGAGGAGGAAUAAGGGCUUGAUGCUGGCACUGAGUAUGAUGGGCUUGAAUUUGUAGAAGAAGAUGGAGAAUGAGUUUUCUGUGUGGUGUGCAGAUUAUUAUGUACCCCAAAGCAAGAAGAGCUAACCCAAUGCCGCAACAUCUUUCGUUCUUAUUGCACUGUAACUGGCAGGGUGUGUGAUCUCAUUGUUGACAAUGGUAGUGGUGAGAACAUUGUAGCCACUAGACUAGUGGAGCAUUUAAAACUAUCCACAGAAAGUCAUCCAGCUCCAUAUUCGGUUGGGUGGAUCAAGAAGGGGCCUUCUUUGCAGGUAACAAAAAUUUGCAGAGUGCCUAUUUCGAUAGGCAAACACUACAAAAAUGAGGUAAUUUGUGAUGUUAUUGAUAUGGAUGCUAGUCAUUUUUUAUUGGGUAGACCAUGACAGUAUGAUAUUGGUGCUACAUACAAAGGAAGGGAUAAUAUGUAUUUGUUUAAGUAGAAUGGACAUAAUAUUGCUAUGAAUUCUAUUAUUGAAGAACCACCCAAAACUUCCAAAGUGGAGGGGUGGUCAUUUCUAACUAUUAUAGGUUCUGAAUAUGAUUUGAGCAUGAAGCUAAGAGGGCUGAUGAAGUUUAUGCUGUGGUUGUUAAAACCUUGGUGGUCAAGAAUGGAGAAAAGCUAAAUUCAGUUGUGCCAAGCAAAGUGAGGGCAUUGAUUGGGGAGUUUGAAGAGCUUGUUCCAGAAGAUUUAUCAGAUAGUUUGCCACCUAUGCGUGACAUCCAGCAUCACGUAGACUUGGUUCCUGGUGUUAGCUUGUCUAACCUACCAUACUAUCGAAUGAGUCCAAAGGAAAGUGAGUUUUUAGGGGAGAAAGUUGAAGAGUUAUUGCGGAAGGGAUUUAUUCAGGAGGGCAUGAGUCCAUAUGCUGUUCCUGCUUUGCUGACACCGAAGAAGGAUGGUAGUUGGUGUAUGUGUGUUGAUAGCCAUACCAUCAACAAAAUUACUAUAAUGUAUCGAUUUUCAAUUUCACAUUUAGAUGAUAUGCUUGAUCAAUUAUGUGGAUCAAAAAUUUUUUUGAAGAUAGAUCUUCGCAGUGGAUAUCACCAGAUUUGGAUUAGGCCUGGCGAUGAGUGAAAAAUAGCAUUCAAAAUCAAGAAAGGCUUAUACGAAUGGUUGGUGAUGCCUUUUGGACUGUCCGAUGCUCCUAGCACGUUCAUGCAGUUGAUGAAUCAGGACCAGUAUCCAGAUGAUGAUGAUUCUCAGGAGACUUGGAACAAGUGCCUUGCAAAGCAAAAUACAGGUGAAUUUCAUAUUUUUGAUGGAUUUUUAUUCUAUGCUAACCGUUUGUGUAUUCCGCGUACAUCUCUACGCGAGAAGCUUAUCAGGGACUUCCAUGGAGGUGGUUUGAGCGAGCACAUCGGGAGAGACAAAGCCAAGGAGUAUUAUUAUUGGCCACAGUUGAAGCGCGAUGUUGGCAACUUUGUUAGAAGACAGCUAAAGGUCAGGUGCAAAAUACUGGUCUUUACAUGCCUCUCCCAGUUCCUAAUUCUAUAUGGGAAGACUUGUCAAUGGAUUUUGUGUUUGGGCUUCCUUGCACCCAGCGAGGAGUAGAUUCUGUUUUUGUUGUUGUUGACGGGUUCUCAAAAAUGGCAUAUUUUAUUCCAUGUCGAAAGACUUCAGAUGCUUCUUAUGUGGCACGUUUGUUCUUUAAAGAAGUUGUUCGCUUGCAUGGCGUGCCACAGUCAAUCACUUCCGAUAGAGACCCCAAA